ACCCGCUGAACUUAAGCAUAUCAAUAAGCGGAGGAAAAGAAACCAACAGGGAUUGCCCUAGUAACGGCGAGUGAAGCGGCAACAGCUCAAAUUUGAAAUCUGGCGUCUUUGGCGUCCGAGUUGUAAUUUGCAGAGGGCGCUUUGGCAUUGGCAGCGGUCCAAGUUCCUUGGAACAGGACGUCACAGAGGGUGAGAAUCCCGUACGUGGUCGCUAGCCUUUACCGUGUAAAGCCCCUUCGACGAGUCGAGUUGUUUGGGAAUGCAGCUCUAAAUGGGAGGUAAAUUUCUUCUAAAGCUAAAUACUGGCCAGAGACCGAUAGCGCACAAGUAGAGUGAUCGAAAGAUGAAAAGCACUUUGGAAAGAGAGUUAAAAAGCACGUGAAAUUGUUGAAAGGGAAGCGCUUGCAGCCAGACUUGCCUGUAGUUGCUCAUCCGGGUUUCUACCCGGUGCACUCUUCUAUAGGCAGGCCAGCAUCAGUUUGGGCGGUUGGAUAAAGGUCUCUGUCACGUACCUCUCUUCGGGGAGGCCUUAUAGGGGAGACGACAUACUACCAGCCUGGACUGAGGUCCGCGCAUCUGCUAGGAUGCUGGCGUAAUGGCUGU
rnacentral:rRNA from 1 species